rnacentral:rRNA from 1 species
AUGAUAUCUAUGAAUGUUCCUAAGUUUUUGUGGGGUGAAGCUGUAAUGACAGCUGCUUACUUGAUGAAUAGAAUGCCAUCCAGGGUACUUGGUUAUAAAACACCGUUAGAGUGUCUAACGGGUGAAACAAAAUAUGUGGUUCCACCUAAGGUCUUUGGGUGUGUUUGUUUUGUGAAGGAUUACAGACCAUCUGUUGGCAAGCUAGACCCAAAGGCGUUAAAGUGUGUAUUCGUGGGGUACUCUGGUAAGCAGAAGGGAUAUAAAUGUUGGUGUCCAUCUGAAAGGAGAAUGUUUGUGAGUAUGGAUGUGGUAUUUAGGGAGCAGGAACCAUUCUAUGGUGAACCGACGGAUUUAACUGAUGUCUUCCCUGAUUUGUUUGCUAAUGAAAAUUUAGAUGCAGAUUGUGAGACAGGGGGAGAUAAGGAAGAGGAAGAUGAUGCAACAUCAAGAAAGAUGAUAGUUGGGGUAAUUCCAGUGGAAACAUAG